GCCACGCGCAACCGAGCCAUUCCUGUGUGAGUCGUAUGCCAGCCGUGAGUCUCAAGACUCGAGCUGAAGCGUUGUUAGUCGAGCCACCUUCAGUUUUAGCCGUCUGCAACAUAUUUAAGCCCUUGGUGAGUUUUUGCUUAAUUCUCGUUGUGUUUGGUACACCCAAAUAAUUAUUGUUUUGGGUCUAAAAUGAGUUAGCACUGGAAUGAGUUGAAUUAUGUUGUUUGAGAUGGUCGUAUAAAUAGUUACUUUGAAAACCAUAUUAUGAUUUAGAUAUAGUAUUAUUUGUUGAGGCAUGCUAUAAUCAAAUAUGUUACUUUUGAGUUAUGUGUAAUUGAGCUAAGAUGUUGAUCUUAUGAUAAACAUGUAUAGGCUAUAGUGUUCUGUUAGUUUUGCCUAUUAGAGUUGUACCGUAUGGGGGUCCAUCAGGGUCACCACCUAUGUAUGCAUGUGUGACUUGUUUGAGAUGUGAUUCGACGGGAUCACUUACAGUCUGACUCUCCUAUAGGAUGAUUCCUUCGGGUUCACCGAGAGCCUAGAUGUGUCCCUACGGAACCACUUGAUAGUAUGCGUUCGGGAGCGCAAUAGUAUGCGGUACCAUGUUACAGGACUCUAACGAAAGGUUAACAGACACAUAGUGAGACCACUAUGGGUCUCUUACUAAGUAUAAAUUUAUACUCACUCUUUUAAAUGUUUAAUUUCAGGUAAGGGUAGAGGCAAGGGCAUAAUAGCGAAUGAUAAGAAGUGAUCAUAGAUCGCCAUAGGGAACAAUUCAGUUUUCUUUCGCAUUUAUAUUUCAAUACUUAUAUUUUCAUAGGUUUAUUUCAGAACUCUGGUUCAAUUACUUUAAGUAUUUCUUCUAUUUUUGGGCCCAAACUGGUAUUUUGAUCAGUUAUUUUAACUACUUAUUAUUUAAAGUUUUUCCUCAAAUUUUAAUUUAUUUUCUUGUAUAUUAAAAAAAAUCUAUACUUACUUAAAUAGUAAUGACCUCAACCUUCUAGAAAAGUUGGGGCGUUACAAUUAAAACUAAGUUACCUAGGUCAUCCUAAUGAAUAGAAACCUAACUAGUAAACAGAGUUUCAUCUAGUAGUUAUUAUUUUGCCGUCUGAUCUUAUGUAAACUUAUUGCAUAAGAUACCGUCACUCGUAUGUCAACUACACAAACGCGUUGAAUCAUUGUGUUUGUAUCAAAUACAAAGUGAGCCAUAUUCAUAGUGUUACCAGGAUUAGGUAUUCAGCAUUAUCCUUCUACUAUAGAACCUUUAAGCUGAUCUUGAACCUUUAUCCCUGUAUGUCUCUACAUACUGUUUAAGAUUCAUUAAACAACUUAGGAUGUUAGUUUGUUUGAUUUGAGUUAUUAAGACAACUAAUAUUAUAACCAAUAACAAUUAUUACAAUAAUAACAUGUUAUUAACAACGAUUAAUGGAUUAUAUUUACAAUCUACGAGUUUUAGGACAUAAAUCCCAACAUAAACGAUCUUUUAUUUAGUCUAAACAAUAUUGUACCAAAUCUAAACGAUCCAUUAGUAACAGUGGUCUAUGUCUGUUUAUCUGGGAUAGACAACUGAUGAUUUAGAUAUUGAUACAUUAUCAUUUAAAUCAUGUACUAAUAUCAUUUAGAUCUUGUACCAAGAAGCAAAAAGAGAAGAUGAGAGAUGAAGAAGGAAGUAAUUUUGAAAAAGGAAAUGAAGAAAUCAAAGACAAGAAGAAGUGAGAAUAUGAAAGAGAAGUAAUAAUAUGAAGAAAUUAAUAAUACGAAGAAGAGAAGAAUAAAUUGCAAAGAAGAAGAAAAAGAAGUGAAGUGAAGAAUGGUUUCACAAUGCGCAAAAAUAAUGACAAAGGGAAAAUCUGAAAUUUAUAAAAAAAAAUAAUGGUGGCUUCAUGUGCUUUAAUUUUUUGUUACAUGCGACGUAAAUAUUUUUGGGUUUUGCUACAUUUAUGUGUAUUAUUCAUGAUUUAAUUUAAUUAAUUACUUUUCUAAUUAAUUAAUUACUAAGUUAAGCAUCACAUAUUUAACUUAAUCUAGAAUUUGAAUUAUCUUCAAUUGUAUCUCGUGUACGAUCGGUAUGGGAAUCCUCAAGAGGGUGAAUAGGGUUUUUACAAAUUAAUGAAACAAGUGGGCCAAAUUAAAUAAAUUAACAAACUUUUUGCUAAUAAAUAAUGUAAUCAAUAAUCUCAUACAAAUGCAUGCACAUCAAAAUAACUUAUAAGGUGACGUUAACAAAUUCAAACAUCCAUUUUAAUGUUUAUAACAAGAAAAUUGGUAACACAAAUAUGCAAAGAUAAACUUAAACCAACCUAAAUAGAGAAGUGAGCAAUUAAUCUCAAGAACAAAAGUUGCAAUUAAUUUCAAACACUAAAAUUUGAUAACAAAUUAAUUGCAAAAUUAAAUAGUUGAGAGAUAAAGAAAUUAACAUCGGGAAUUUUAUAGUGGCUCGGCACAACCGACCUACAUCCACUUUUCAAGCUCCUCUUGGUUAUUUCACUCAAACUUGACUCUUUCGAUGGCUUAGAGUAGAUCCAUACAACGUUCCUUUUUUCAAGUGUAAGAACAAGCUCAAUCAUUUCCACGGUUUAGGAUCAAACCAUUACGACCACUCUUUUUAGAGAUCAAGAGAAAUCCUUUAAAAUGAAUUAGAAAUGAAGCACGAUAUGAGAAAAUCCUCUAAAUUAGUAGAUUUACAAAUUUGUAGUACUCAACAAUUAAAUCCCCAAUACAAUAAACUAGGACAUCCCCAUACCCAUUACACAUCUCCCACUUGUCCUAGAUUACCUAAUGUACAAAACUCGCAGAUCUAGACUCUCUAGAUGAGCCUCGAACACUUUAGCCGUGAGAGUCUUUGUAAAUGGAUCAGCAAUGUUAUGCUCCAAAGCGAUCUUGGUGACUAUCACUUCACUUCGUUGCACAAUCUCUUGUAUCAGAUGAUAUUUUCUCUCUAUAUGUUUUCCUCAUUUGUGGCUAUGAGGUUCCUUAUAAUUGGUCACUGCCCAAUUGAUAUCAAAAUAUAAAGUGAUGGGCAUGUUCAUAUUUGGAACAACUUCCAAAUCUUGCAGAAACUUCCUUAGCCAAAUUGCUUCUAUUGUUGCUUCACAAGCAACGACGUACUCAACCUUUAUAGUAGAGUCUACAAUGCAUCCUUGCUUGAUGCUAUGACAUGCUACUGUUCUCCCGUUUAGGGUGAACACUAAUCCCACUAGAUUUCCUAGAAUCCUUAUCUGUUUAGAAAUCAGGAUUAAAUCCCUAGCUUCAUACACAAGCAUGUAGUUUCUCAUUCUCCUAAGAUACUUAAGAAUAAUUUUAACCGUCGUCUAGUGGUCUAACCCUAAGUUGGACUGAUAUCUACUGACUAUUCCCACUACAUAAUAAAUGUCUAACCUAGUGCAGAACAUAACAUAAAUUAAGCUACCCACAACUAAGGCAUAUGGAAUAUGUCUCAUAUCUUCUCAACUUCUUGAGGUGUCUUAGGACAUUGUUCCUUAGACAAGUAAACCUCGUGCUUGAAAGGUAAUAAAUCCUUCUUAGAGUUUGCAUCGAAUAUCGAACCAAUAUUUUGUCGAUAUAGGUUGCCUGAGACAGUGCUAGCAUUUUGUUCUUACGAUCCCUUAUGAUUUGGAUCCCAAGAACAAAUUGUGCCUCUCCCAAAUCUUUCAUUUAGAAUUGGACUGGUAGCCAAGUUUUAACGUUAGUUAGGUAUCCUACAUCAUUUCCAGUGAGAAGGAUAUCAUCCACAUAAAGUACUAAGAAAGCUACUUUAUCUUUGUUGAUUUUCUUGUAUACACAAGGCUCAUCAACAUUUUGGUCAAAACCGUAAGAUUUGAUCGCAAUAUCAAAUCUAAUGUUCCAAGAUCUAGAUGUUUAUUUCAACCCAUAAAUGGAUCGAUUCAGCUUGUAAACUUUUUGUUUCUAACCUUGGGUUAUGAACCCCUCAGGCUGAGACAUAAAGAUACUCUCUUCAAGAUUGCCACUUAGAAAAGCAGUAUUAACAUCCAUUUGUCAUAUUUCAUAAUCAUAAAAAGUGACUAUGGACAAGAGAAUCCUUAUAGACUUUAACAUAGCAACAGAGAAAAAGUUUCCUCGUAGUCAAUCCCUUCCCUUUGGGUAUACCCAUUUGCUAAGAGUCUAGCUUUGAAGGUUUGUACCUUCCCAGCUGAAUCUCUCUUUCUCUUAUAGAUCCAUUUGCACCCUAUGGGUUUCACCCCUUCAGGUAGAUCUACAAGCUCUCAUACUGAAUUGAAGUACAUAGAUUCCAUGGUUUUAACCUAUUAGUUCUUGUCUACAUCAGUCAUUGCCUAUUUAUAGAACAAUGGAUCCUCAACGACAUCAUCUGGUAUGACAACCUGAGUUUCAGUUAAACCGAAGUAACGAUUAGGUUGUGAUAUAACUCUCCCACUGCAUCGAGGCAUUCUCAACAAUUGAGAAGGAUGAGACUAAUCGGAUGUGUUGGUUUCCUCAACUCUUGAUGAGGGACCAACUUCAUCAACAACCCUUGCUGAUUCAUUAGUAGCUUCACUUAAUUUUGAUUUGCUUCAUGGUUUAUGAUCUCUCAUGUUGUUUUCUUCCAAGAAAGUAGCCUUUGUCAAUAUAAACACUUUGUUUUCUUGUGGAUCGAAGAAUAGACCACCUCUCGUUUCUUUAGGAUAACCAAAAAAUUGACAUAACCUUGAACGAGAGUCCAACUUCUUAGAAUUUGACACUAAAACGUGUGCUGGACAACCCCAAAUUAUGGAGUGACUUAACUAGGUUUACAUCCUCUACAUAACUCGAAAGUGUAACGACCCAACUCUUUAUACUAAGUUGAGGUCAUUACUACUAAAACAAAUAAAGACUUUUUAUUUAAAUCAAAGAAAAUACUAAGUUUUAAAACAAACACUUCAAAUAUUUAUUCAUAAAAUAUAAGUAAAGUAUGUAAAGAAAACAAUAAAUAAAAUAUUAGUUUGGGCCCUAUUUAAAAUAAAAAUAUAUAUCUAAAAGUAAAUGUGGGUUCUGAAAUAAGUUUAUGAAAAUUUAAUAUUGAAAAUAUAAAUGCUAAAUAAAACAUAAAUUGUCCCCUAUGGAGAACCAUGGUGACUUCUUGUCAUUCGCCAACUUGCCUUUAUUUCUAUCUUUGCCUGAAAAAUUAAAUCUAGAAAGGAGUUAGUCUAAAUUUAUACUUAGUAAGGGAUCCACUAUUAGUCCCACUACGUGUUUGUUAAUUUUACGUUAAAGUCCUCCUAUAAGAAAGUACCGCAUAUCUAUUAUUCUACUGAAAUCACCCUAUCCAGUGAUCUCGUAGGGACAUAUAUGGGCUCUUGGUGAAGCAGAAGGAAUCACCCUAAAGAAGAGUCAAGUUGUAAGUGAUCUUGUCGAAUCACACAUCAAACCUAACCACAAAUACAUAAAUAGGUGGUGAUCCCGAGGGACACCUACAUGGUACGACUCUAACAAGUAAAGCUAACAGAACAUCAUAGCAUAUAUAGCAUAACAUAAAUAUCAUAUCUUAAUCGUAAUAUAUCUCAACCAUAGUAUAUCUCAUUCAUAACAUAUCAUGGUCAUCACAUAUCUCAGUCAUACAUAACGAUUUUCUAUGUUGCUAUCAUUAUCUAACAUCCUUAACAGUCACAUCACAUGCAUCAUAACUAUGUUAAUGCAUACUAAGGUAAAACAUAAUGUAAGAGGCUGGUAGUAGAAUCUUUUACCUGGAGAUUAAUUAGUUGAAAAUAUAGUCCCUUCCUGACAGUCAAUUCUCAAUUAAGUCAGGCCUAAACAUAAACAAAAUUAAAAUUGUUAAUUUUGUCAACCAUCAUCCAACUAUUUAAUUAAGCAUCCAAACUUACCCCAAGACUAAGGUUGAAUCCAACACAACCUUGAAUGAAAAAAUUUGCAGUUUCAAAUCCUCAAAUUAACACUUGAACCUUCGAGCAAAAGUAAUUCAACUCAUUCUCUUGUAAACUUAUUUAAGAUCCAAAGAAUAUUCAUUUGGACGUACCAAACCCAACACAAAUUCACCCAAAAGGCUCAAGAGAUACCAAAAAGUAACUUGGCUUGGACUAAGGUAGAAAUGGCUCACACAACUUGACAGAAGGAGAAUCGGCUCGACGGUUAGCUUGGGCGCACUACUCGCAAAGAGAGGAAAAAUCAGCAGAGUUGAGGGCAACUUGUGAAGAAGUGGAGAAUCGGCUCGGUGAUGCACAUAUCGGCUUGGUCAGGCAAAAGGUUCGUUCGACUGUUGCCUGCGAUGAGAUUUUGGUGGCACGAGACAGAACUUGCCGACAAUGAGGCUUGACAAAAACGUGCGAAAAAUAAAUAAAAAGAGAGAGACACCUCAACUUCACCUGUACGCGAACGGAGGAGGAAUGAUAGUGUCCACAAACGACGAGUGAUGAUCCUUGCAAUGGGUUCAGUGACGACUAGGGUUUGUGAAGAAGGAAGAAGAUGAUGAAUAGUUCUCUCUUUUCUUUGCACGUUUCACGAGGGUUAAUUAUAUAUAAUAAUAAUGAUGAUAUUUAUUAUUAUUAUCAUUAUUCCUUUUCCAUUUCCAAUUAACAAGUUAACUCAAUUAAAUUAUACUCUGUCUCCUCAUCAAACCAAACUUUUUAUUUUUCCCAAGAAUACAAUAUCUUUCAAAAUAAUUAUAUUUUCCACAAUAUAAUUAUUUUCUCUCGCUCAAAAAUAUCUUUCCUAAAAAAGUCAAUAAUAAAUUAUUCUUACCCUUCCAUGACUUAGUUUAUUAUAUUUACUUAUAUAAUUAGCCAAUAAUCUUAAAUCUCACCAAAAUUUCCAAUAAUACAAUUAAUUAAAUAAUCUUCCAUUGAACAUUUAAUUAAUCACAAUUUCCACAAAACAAACAAUUCUAAAAAAUUAUAACACUAGACUAAAUCCAUCAUAAAUUAAAUUAAAUUAAGAUAAUUUAAAAAUAAGAUUACGUCCCUCCUUUGAGAAACUUUCGUCCUUGAAAGUUCUAAUCCUUGUAUAGCUCGGGAUAAUGAGCUCUCAUGUUGUCCUCUCUCUCCCAAGUAGCUUUUUCAACCUCGUGGUUUUGAUAAAGAACAUUAAUUAAUUCCCCUGUUAUGAAGCAACUUAACUUCUUUUGCCAAAAUCUCAACUGGUUGCUCCUCAUAGCUCAAGUUCUCAUUGAUUUGCAAUGACUCAUAAUCAACUAUAUGUGUUGGAUCUGUUACACACUUCCUCAGCAUGGAUACAUCGUAUACAUCAUGAACUGCAGACAAUGACAGAGGCAAUGCCAAAUGAUGAGUUACGAAACGUGGACUCAGGUUUCCCUUCUUCUCAAACCUCAUAACACCCUUCAUAGGUGCUACCUUUACAAAAACCAUGUCCCCUACAUCGAACUCAAGAUCCCUACGUUGUUCAUUGGCGUAACUCUUCUGUAUGCUCUGCGCUGUCAACAUGCGGGCUCUAAUCUUCUGUAUGGCCUCAUUGGUGGUCUGAACUAGCUUGGGACAUAACAUCCUCUGCUCACCAACCUCACCCCAACAUACAGAGAAUCUACAACACUUACCAUGCAGAGCUUCAAAUGAUGCCAUGUCAAUGGUAGCCUGCUAACUGUUAUUAUAAGCGAACUCCAUCAAAUGCAAAUAGGAGUCCCAACUUCCUGAAAACUCUAGCACACAUGUUUGGAACAUAUCCUCCAAAAUUUGGCUCAAACGCUCUGUCUAACCAUCAGUCUGAGGGUGAACAGUUAUACUAAAGUCCAAUCUCGUGCCCAUGGCAGCCUGAAGUCCUUUCCAAAACUUGGAAGUAAAAUAGGCAUCUCUAUCAGAAACAAUUGACACGAGCACUCCAUGCAGUCUCACUAUCUCGGUCAUAUACAACUGUGCCCACUUACUGGCAGUACAAGUGGCCUUCUCUGAGAUGAAAUGGGCUGACUUCGUGAGCUUGUCAACAAUAAACCAAAUUACUUUAUAACCCUUCAGAGACCUUGGCAGUUCUAAAAUGAAAUCUAUAGACACAUUCUCCCACUUCCAUUCUGGCACACUCAAAGGUUGCAAAAAACCUGUUGGCUUCUGUUUUAGUGUCUUCACCUGUUAGCAAACUAGAGACUUAUUGACAAAGUCUGGCACUUCCCUCUUCAUAUUUUUCCACCAGUAAACUUGUUUUAAAUAUUUAUACAUCUUUGUACUAUUUGGAUGCAUAGAAAGUGGAGAAUUAUGGGCCUCAACCAACAACUCUGUCUUAACUACACUGUCUGCUGGCACACAUAACCGUCUCUCGAACAUGAGUCCAUCAUCAGAGGAUAAAGAGAACUCCUCAGCUUACCCUACUUCUGUUAAGCAUCACUUAUCAACCAAAUAAGGAUCAGUGAGCUGAGCAAUAAUAAUUCUCUGCCUCAAAGUUGGUUGUACUGACACCUGAGCUAACUGUGAGGUGACUUCUCCUACUAAAAAUGCAAUCUUAGCUCUCUCAAGAUCUCUGUGCAAAGGAACCUGACUAGUAAUGAGUGCUACAGAGUAUGAUACCUUCCUACUAACUCACGAUCUCAUGAUCGUAGUCCUUGACCAACUCGAGCCAUCCGCGCUAUCUCAUAUUUAAGUCCUUGACCAAUUCAAGCUCUUAUGGUCAAUGAAGAUCUGAAUCUUCUCACCAUAUAAAUAAUGCCUCCAAAUCUUAAGUGCAAAAACUAUUGCUGCCAAACUCUAAAUCAUGUGUAGGGUAGUUCUGCUCAUGGCUCUUCAACUGAGGAGAGGCAUAAACAACCACCUUACCUUAUUGCAUCAAUACACAACUCAAUCCUUUCUAAGAGGCAUCGCUGUAAAUCACAUAACUCCCAGAUCCAUCUGGCACUAUAAGGACUGGUGUAGUAACAAGUUUCUGUUUAAGAUCCUGGAAACUGCUCUCACAUGCUGGGCUCCAAACAAAAGGAUUCCCCUUCCUGGUUAGCUAGGUCAAAGGACUAGCUAUACGAGAGAAGCCUUCCACGAACCUUCUGUAAUAACCUAUUAAACUCAAAAAACUUUAAACUUCACUGACUGUACAAGGUCGAGGCCAAAUGGUAACAACUUUAAUCUUUGCUGGGUCUAUAAUAACUCCUUCACUGGACACUACAUGGCCAAGGAACAAAACUUGCUUCAGUCAAAACUCACACUUGGAAAACUUGGCAUAUAGCCUAUUGGCUCGAAGAGUCUCUAAUACCUUAUGCAAAUACUCCUCAUGCUCAGCCUCUGUCUUGGAGUAAACCAAGAUGUGAUCAAUAAAAAAUAUCACAGAAGUGUCUAAGAAAUCCUUAAGCACCACCUUAUUCAUCAAAUCCAUAAAUACACCAGGAGCAUUUGUCGAGCCAAAGGACAUCACAAUAAACUCGUAAUGUCCAUAUCUGGAAAGGCAGUCUUGGGAAUAUCACUGUCUCUAAUCCUCAACUGGUGAUAUCCUGAUCGUAAAUUGAUCUUAGAGAACACAGUGGCUCCCUAAAACUGAUCAAACAAGCCAUCAAUCCUGGGCAAUGAAUAUUUGUUCUUGACUAUCACCUUAUUAAGCUUUUUAUAGUAAAUGCAAAGACACAUCAACCCAUCUUUCUUCUUCACAAAUAAUGCCGGUGCUCCCCAAGGUGACAUACUAGAUCGAAUAAAGCCCUUGUCCUAUAAUUCUUGCAACUAGACCUUCAACUCCUUCAACUCAGCUGGAGCCAUUCUGUAUGGAGCUCUCGAUAUGGGACCAGUGCCUGGUUUCAGUUCAAUAGCAAAAUCAACCUCUUUGUGAGGAGAAAGUCUUGAAAGCUCUUCUAAAAAAACAUCGGGGUAUUUCUUUACCAUUCAUUCAGAUGAUAAGGAUACAUCGGGCUCUCUGGUAUCUACAACACUAGCCAAGAUACUCUAAGUACCUUGGUUGAACAACUUACUGGCCUUCAUGGUUGAGAUAACUUUGGGUAGGCCACAGUCCCCGCCCCCUUAUACUUUAAACUAGUCGCCUCAUGAGGGUUAAAAACUACCUCCUUGCGAGAAUAAUCUAUGUUUGCAUGGUUAGCAGAUAGCCAAUUCAUGCCCGAUAUUACAUCAAAGUCUUGCAUGUGUAAUACUAAUAAAGUUACAUCUAAAACAUGAUAUGCUAUUUCUAUUUAACAUGUUUUUAUCUUUCCUUUCGACAACAUAAUUUAUCCAGAUGGAGUAGAGACAAAUAACAUAUAACUCAAGGGUUCUACUUGUAAACUCAUAUGUUGAACAAAAAUUGGCGAUAUAAAAGAAUGAGAGGACCCCGAGUCAAAUAAUAAUAAAGCAAAGUGCUCCAAGAUUAGGAGUGUACCUAUCACCACUGUGUAAGCUUUCUCAGCCUCCUGUUGAUUAGUGGCAAAAACUCACCCCUAUCGAGAUGUAGAAGUCUAGUUCGAGAUAGGUUCAAACUAUUUCUGAGGGUAAUUAUCAGCUAUAUAUAUGUCAGGUUGCCUACACUUGUAGCAUAUACUACUUCCUAUUAGGCAAUGACCUGAAUGAGGCCUUUCACAAUUAGAACACAUGUAUACUUCCUUCAAGGUUUUGCCUGCCUCAACAACCUACUGUCUAAGCUGCUGGAACAAACCACCUAAUCUCAAAUUCCUUUGUGGUGCUAUUGUAGGCUACUGCUAAGCCUUCCUUUUCUACCCUACAAUUGGACCAUUCUCUACAGCCUUGGCCAUCUUUAUCCUCUCAUGCAAACUCAAAUCCACUGUCAUGUGUAGUGCAUCAUCUUAGGUAGCUAGUCUAAAGACUCUAACGAAACCCUGGAUCUCCUACUUAAUGCCUUUGACAAACUUGUCAACUCUCUCAGUCUCAGUUCUCACUAACUCAGGUGCAAAUCGGGAUAACACAUCGAAUUCUUGAUCAUACUCCUCUAUGGCCAUAUUGCCUUGCUCCAACUUUAAGAACUCUUGACACGAAGAAGAAUUUGGCAUGAAAAUUCUCCUUAAACUACUUUUAGGUGAUCUGACUCAUAUCUCCACCCAACAUCCUAUAUGUGGACUUCCACUAGCCUCUGUCUCUAUCAGUCAGUAAGAACACGACGCACUAAACUUUCUGGUCAUUGGAGCACUUCAUGUAACGAAAGAUAGUCUUCACCGAACUCAACCACAUCUGCGCCUUGGUGGAGUUUGCCAAGGAUCCAUCGAAAGUCCGAGGGUUAUACUUCCUGAAAUCCCUCAGGUGUUUGGCUUCUGCUGAAAGCAUAUCAAGUAGGUUAUAUGCUACAAUUGGGGCCUAAACUCCCGCAACUGGGAUCUAAACACUUGCAGCCGGUGUCCGUACAUGAGUUGUUUGGAUAUCCUAGGUAGGUUGUCACUGUGCCAAUACUUUGAACAAUAAGUCUAUGUACAUUUGCUCCAUGGCAGCAAGGUAUGCAUGAGUGACAGGUGCAGUAGGGUCGAUAACUUGUACAACAUGCUGUCCUUAAGGCUGGUUACGUCUAAAAAUUAUUUAAAUUCAAAAACUGUAACACCCAAAAAUUAAGGUAAUUUUAUAUUUUUAAUUAUCUUAGUUUAAUUUAAUUUAUGAUGGAUUUAAUUGGGUGUUAUAAUUUUUUUAGUAUUGUGAAAAUUGUGAUUAAUUGAAUGUUCAGUGGAAGAUUAUUUAAUUAAUUAUACUAUUGAAAAUUUUGGUGAGAUUUAAGUUUAUUGGUUAAUUAUAUAUGUAUAUAAUUAAUUAAGUUAUGGAAGGGUAGAAUAAUAUAUUAUUGAUUUUUUUUAGGAAAGAUAUUUUUUAGAGAGAAAAUAAUUAUAUUGUGGAAAAUCUAAUUAUUUGGAAAGAUAUUGUAUUUUUGGGGAAAGUAAAAAGUUUGGUUUGAUGGGUAUUUAACGAGGAGAGAAAGUAUGAUUUGAUUUUGGUUAAUUUGUUAAUUAGCAAAAGAAAAGGAAUAAUGAUAAUAAUAAUAAAUAUCAUUAUUAUUAUUAUAUAUAAUUAACCCUUGUGAAACGUGCAAAAAAGGGAACUAUUCAUCAUCUUCUUAAUUCUUCACAAACCCCAGCCGCCAUCGUGCUCCGUUGCAAGGAUCACCGCUCGUCGUUUGUUGACACCGUCAUUCCUCCUUUGUUCCUUAGUGACGAAGUCGCACAAGCCGACUAUGCACCCCCCACCUCCUACGUUUGCAUGUAGGUGAAGCCGAGGAAUCUCUCUCUUUUCAUUUCAUCAAUCAUCUAGUUUUUGAACGUUUUCAUUAAGCCUUACCGUCGUUAAGUUCUGUCUCGUGCCACCCAGAUCUCAUUGCCGGCAAUCGUUAAACGAACCCUUGCUUGAGCAAGUCGAUCUGUGCAUCACAGAGCCACUUAUCUACUCCUUCGUAAAUCGCGCUUGUCACAGCCGAUUUCUUUCUCCUUUUGUGAGUUGUGCACCCGAGCUGACUGCCAAGUCGAUUCUCCUCCUGCAGAGCCGCGUGGGCCAUUUCUGCCUUAGUUUAAGCCAAGUUGCUUUUUGGUAUCUCUUGAGCUGUGUUGGUUUGGUAUGCCCAAAUGAAUAUUUUUUGGAUCUUAAAUAAGUUUACAAUGGAAUGAGUUAAAUUAUUUUUGUUUGAAGGUUCAAGUGUUAAUUUGAGGAUUUGAGACUCCGAAAUUUUCCAUUCAAGGUUUUGUUUGAUUCAACCUUAAUCUUGGGGGUCAGUUUGGAUGCUUAAUUAAAUAGUUGGAAGUUUGGAUGCUUAAUUAAAUAGUUGGGUGAUGGUUGAAAAAAUUAAUAAUUUUAAUUUUGUUUAUGUUUAUGACUGAAUUAGUUGAUAAUUAAUCUCCAGGUAAGAAGUUUUAUUAUUAGAUCCUUACAUUAUGUUUUCCCUUAGUAUGCAUUAACGUAGCCAUGAUGCAUGUGAUGUGACGGUGAAGAAUGUUAGAUAAUGAUAGCUACAUAAAAAAUCGUUAUGUAUGACUAAGAUAUGUGAUGACCACGAUAUGUUAUGAAUGAGAUAUACUAUGGUUGAGAUACAUCAUGUUUGAGAUAUGUUAUUUAUGUUAUGUUAUAUGUAUAGACUAUGAUGUUGUGUUAGCUUUACCUGUUAGAGUCGUAUCAUAUGGGUGUCCCUCGGGAUCACCACCUAUUUAUGUUUGUGUGGCUUAGCUUUUAUAUGUGAAUCAAUAGGAUCACUUACACUUCUUUAGGGUGACUCCUUCGGGUUCACCAAGAGUCUAGAUGUGUUCCUACAAGAUCACUGGAUAGCGUACGUUUGGGAGCACAAUAGAUAUUCGAUAUUUUCUUACAGGACUAUAACGAGAGGUUAACAGACACGUAGCAGGAGUAGUAGUGGGUCUCUUACUUAGUAUAAAUUUAUACUCACCAUUUUCUAUGUUUAAUUUUUCAGGUAAAGGAGCAGGUAAAGGCAAGCUCGCGAAUGGCAAGAAGUGACCGUGGAUCGUCAUAGGGAACAUCUUAUGUUUUCUUCCACAUUUAUGUUUUGAGUAUUAAAUUUAUUUCAGAACCCAUGUUUACUUUUAGAUAUAGUUUUUUUAUUUUAAAUAGGUUCCGAACUAAUAUUUUAUUAUAUACUUUACUUAUAUUUUAUGAGUGUUUCUUUUUAAAACUUAGUAUUUUAUUUGAUUUAAAUAAAAAGUCUUUAUUUGUUUUAGUGGUAAUGAUCUCACCUUAGUAUAAAGUGUUGGAUCGUUACAGAAAGGUAUUUUAGAAACACUUUUCGAGGAACAUUGUUCAAUCUGCAUACCCCCAAAACGAGCAAGGCAAUUGAGCAUGACUCAUCAUUAAACGAACCAUGUCUAACAAGGUUUUAUUUCUCAUUUCUAAUAUACCAUUUUGUUGAGGUGUACCAGGUGCUGAAAGUUGUAAUUGGAUUCCAUGUUCUAUCAUAUAGUCCUGGAAUCUCAAAUCCAUAUACUCUCCACCUCGAUCAGAUAAAAGUAUUUUAAUUUUUUUUACUUGAUAGAUUUUUAACUUCAGCCUUAUACUUCUUGAACUUUCCAAGAGCUUCAGACUUACGUUUCAUUAAGUAUAAAUAAUCAUACCUUGAAUAAUCAUCUAUAAAAGAGAUGAAGUAUUCAAAACCUUCUCUAGCUUUUACAUUCAUUGGACCAUAGUGGUCUGAAUGUAUAAGUUCUAUGGGCUCUUUGGCUCCAUAGCAUUUUCUAGUAAAAGGUCUCUUUAGUCAACUUUUCUUCAAGACAAGAUUCACAUGGAGGCAAUGAAUCAUCUUCUAACUCAUUUAGAAGUCCAUUCUUUACCAAUCUCCCGAUCCUAUCGAGAUUAAUAUGACCUAAUCUUGAAUGCCAAAGAUAGGUAUUAUUUUGAGUAUUAGCAGUUUUAAACAUCUCAUGAUUUAAAAUUGCUUUCGCUUUGUUAGGACUUAAUACAUACAAAAGUUGUCUUCAAGCUUAGCUGAACAAAUGUGUACACCAUUCUUAGAAAUGAACACUUCAUUUAAAGAAAAAUGUUACAUUAUAUGAUUGUUCAAUAAGACAAGAAAUAAAUAUAAGAUUCCUUUUAAUCUUAGGAACUAUAUACAAGUUUUUUAAAAACAAGAAUCUAUUUUAAAAAGAAAAUUUAACAUCUCCCAUUACACGAGCUGAAAUGGCAUCUCUCGUUUUAACUUUGAGUGUAUCUCAUCCUCCUCGAGCUGCUUAAAGGAACUAGUUUUAUGUAAAGAAGAGCAAACAUGACUAGUGGCUCCUAAAUCAAGUAUCUAGACAUUUUGGUCAUUUUCCACUAAACAUGUUUCUAAGGCAAGUAAAUUAUAUUUACUUUCUUUUUAAUUCUUCUUAAAUAUCUCUUGAAGCGAAUCCUUGAUCUGACGUCUAAUGACCAUGGUUUUGUGUUUCUUGCUUAGUAUGUCAGACAUACUAGACAAGAGAUACACACAGGCCUUGUCAUUGGCCUUUGUCCAAUGAUUAUAUGCAUCCCUAAAAUUUUUAGAUGCAUUUCGAGCAGAGGAAGUAGCAAAAUGGUGUAGUUGAAAGGAAAAAUCGUACUUUGCAAGAAUUUGCUAGAUCAAUGUUGAAUGAGUAUGGUUUACCUAAAUAUUUUUGGACGGAAGCCGUUCACACCGCUUGCUAUGUUUCAAAUAGAGUUUUAGUUAGACCCUCUUUAGAUAAAACUCCUUAUGAACUUUGGCAUGGUAAAAUUCCAAAUAUUGGGUAUUUCAAAGUUUUCGGUUGUAAAUGUUUUAUUUUGAAUAACAAAGAAAAACUUGGAAAAUUUGAUUCUAAGACGGAUGUUGGUAUUUUUCUAGGAUAUUCCUCUACUAGUAAAGCUUAUAGAGUUUUCAAUAAGAAAACUUUAGUUAUUGAGGAAUCUAUUCAUGUUGUAUUUGAUGAAUCUUGGAAUAAUGUUUCUAAUGAGUCUAUUUGUAGUGAUGAUUUAGAAAAAGAUUUUGGAGAUUUACUUGUUAAUGACAAAGGCAAAGAAAUUGUUCCAAGUAUGCAAGAUGUGAACAUCAUAGAAAAGAAAGAAGAGGGUUCUUCAUCCUUGCCUAAAGAGUGGAGAUAUGCUCUAUCCCAUCCCAAGGAUCUAAUUCUUGGCAAUCCCGAACAAGGUGUCAAAACUCGUUCUUCUCUUAAUUUAUUUAGUAAUCUUGCUUUUGUGUCUCAAAUUGAACCUAGAAGUUUUAAAGAUGCCGAAUGUGAUGAGUUUUGGAUUUUAGCUAUGCAAGAAGAAUUAAAUCAAUUUGAAAGAAACAAAGUUUGGAAAUUAGUCCCUAGGCCUUCUAAUGCAUCUAUAAUCGGAACAAAAUGGGUUUUUAGAAAUAAGAUGGAUGAAAAUGGAAAUAUCAUUAGAAAUAAAGCUAGACUUGUAGCUCAAGGUUAUUGUCAAGAAGAAGGUAUAGAUUAUGAAGAGACUUUUGCACCGGUUGCUAGAUUAGAAGCUAUUAGAAUGUUGCUUGCUUUUGCUUCUUAUAAAAAUUUCAUUUUGUAUCAAAUGGAUGUAAAAAGUGCUUUUUUAAACGGUUAUAUAUUGUAGAGGAAGUUUACGUAGAACAACCUCCGGGCUUUGAAAGUUUUGAUUUACCUAAUCAUGUUUAUAAGUUGGAAAAGGCUCUUUAUGGCUUAAAACAAGCUCCAAGAGCUUGGUAUGAUAGACUUAGCAAGUUUUUACUUGAGAAUGACUUUAAGAUGGGAAAAAUUGAUAAUACUCUAUUUAUUAAAGUUAAAAAUAAUGACAUGCUUAUAGUGCAAAUUUAUGUGGAUGAUAUUAUAUUUGGUUCUACUAAUUCAUCUUUGUGUGAAGAAUUUUCCAAGUGUAUGCAUAAUGAGUUUGAGAUGAGUAUGAUGGGAGAACUUAGUUUCUUCCUUGGCCUUCAAAUCAAACAACUCAAGGAUGGCAUCUUCAUAAGUCAAGAAAAAUACACAAGGGAUUUGCUCAAGAAAUUCAAAUUCAAUGAAGGUAAAGUUGCAAAAACUCCUAUGAGCACUACCACUAAGCUUGACAAAGAUGAAAAAGGUAAGUGUGUGGAUAUAAAGACUUAUCGAGGUAUGAUCGGAUCUUUACUUUAUUUGACCGCUAGUAGACCCGAUAUCAUGUUUAGUGUAUGUCUUUGUGCUAGAUUUCAAUCUUGUCCUAAAGAAUCACAUUUCCAUGCCGUUAAAAGGAUACUUAAAUAUUUGCUUGGAACUAUUGAUGUUGGAUUAUGGUAUCCUAGAAAUGUUGAGUUUAAUUUGGUAGGAUAUUCCGAUGCGGACUUUGCCGGUAGUUUACUUGACCGUAAAAGUACUAGUGGGACUUGUCAAUUUCUUGGUAGUUCCUUAGUAUCUUGGUUUAGUAAAAAGCAAAAUUCGGUUGCCUUAUCCACUACCGAAGCGGAAUAUAUUGCGGUUGCUAGUUGUUGUGCACAAAUUCUUUGGAUGAAACAAGCUCUUUGUGAUUUUGGAUUAAAAUUUGAUAAUGUGCCUAUAUUUUGUGAUAAUACUAGUGCCAUAAAUUUGACUAAGAAUCCUAUUCAUCAUUCUAGAACUAAGCAUAUAUAUAUUAGGCAUCACUUUAUUAGAGAGCAUGUACAAAAUGGUCAUAUUACUCUUGAGUUUGUAAGCUCCAAUAAUCAAUUAGCGGAUAUAUUUACCAAGCCUUUGAGUGAAGAAAGCUUUUGUAAAAAUAGGCUUGAGCUUGGAAUUAUUCGUUGGGAUGCAUCUUGAUUUUAUAUCUUACUUGAUAUUGUUACCGUAAUGCAUAUUGAUAGGAGGAGAAUUAGACAUUUUGUAUGUGUUCAUGUUUUUUGGGAGAGCUAACUUCAUUGGUAUUGUUUUUGAUGAUUCCAAAGGGGAGAAGUAUAAGAAAAAUAUGUUUUUAUCAAUUUGUUGCAUAAUUGUUUCUAUUGAAUAAUGCAUAUUUUUUUAGAGAAAAAAAAUUAAUUAAGGACAAAGAAGGUUCUCUUAUCAAUUGUUUUCAAGUAUGUUCUUUGUGGUGAAAUAUAUACAUGAGCUUUAUGGUUAUACAUCUUGAUAAUAGAAUUACUUGUUGAUCAUGUGUGUUUCAAGUUAUUUUUCUUCAAUGAUUUGUCAUCAUAAAAAAGGGGGAGAUUGUUGGCUUUUUGGCCCUUAAUCUCAAAUUUAUUUAUUUUAAUUAUUCAAUUAAUUUAUGUUUUGAUGAUAACAAAUCUGAUUUUUUUAUUGACAAUUUUAUUAAUUUGAAUAGACCAUAUCGUAGAGCUUGGAAAAAUGAUUCUAACGCCUCUUGAAUCACCCAAAUCGAAGUUCAAAUGAAGAAAAUAUUGCUAAAAGAAGGUUAACAGAAAAAUACCCGAGAUGGUGACGUGGCGACCAAGCAUUCAAUUUGAACCAAUUAGAGAAAGCCACUUGGAGCAAUGAAGGAGUAACAAAUGUGGCUUUUUGUUAUGUUUUAUUGGCUUUUAUAAAGAAAAUGAAUUUAAAAAGAAAAUGAUUUUAAUAUUAUUAUUUUUCCUUGUGUCUAACGGCUAGUUGUUUUAAAAAGAUGGUGAAGCUUUAUUGAUUUCUUUUUAAACAAAGUAUUUUGAAAAGACAUAUUAUUAUAUUAUUAUUUGUAUUGUGUCUAACGGCUAAUUAAGUUUAAAUCUCAACCAUUCAUUUUUCUUUUACUUAUAUCUAAUGACCCAAAUGAUUUUGAAUUUAUCUUUCCUCUCUUUUUAAAUACUUCACAUUUACACAAGAUCACAACAUCUUUACAAUCCUCAAGCAAAAAGCCAACAUUGUUAUUCUCUCUAAAGCUUCCAAUUUUUAUUCUUUUCAUCUUAUUCUUGAGAGCUUCUUAUUGUAUUGUGAGGAUUAAAUUUGUGAGCUUCAAAUUAUAUACUCACUCUUUUAGAGAGUUUUCUUUUGUAUGAUUUAAAAACUUCAACAUAUUGUAACGGUUGGAUCCUAACCCGUGGAAAGGAUCGAGUUUGCUCUUGAACCCGAAAAAGGAGCAAGAAUCGGUUCGGCUCAAAUCCGUGAAAAGAGUCCAAAGAAGAUUUUCAAUCAAAAUCCCAAGAGGUGCUUGGGAAAGUGGAUGUAGGUUGAGUUUAACCGAACCACUAUAAAAUUACGGUGUCUUCUUCUCUAACUCUUUUCUAAUUAUUUUUUAAUUUAAUUUUAGUUACAUACUCUUAUUGGUUGAGUUUGAUUGCAUACUUCCAUUCAUAUAUUUUUAUCAAUCUUGUUAUUUAACAAAGUUUACAAAGUUCUUUAUUUAAAUUUAAAAAGUAUCUAAUUAGUUGAUUUUACUUUUUAUUUGUCAAAAAAGUUUAUUUAAACCCUAUUCACCCCUCUAGGGUUGCCAUACCGAUCCAAAAAUUGGUAUCAGAGCAAGGUUGCUCAUCUUGAAAUUUUAAUUUCUUGAUAAACUUUAUUGUUAGAGCAUUAUGGCAAACCUAUUGGCAAAUGGUAUUGUUGAAGGUCAAUCUUUUGCUCAUCACUGUAGCAUGAUAAUUGAAAUGACCUUAGGGUGGGGAUUGAAAUCAAGAGCUACAACAAACAUCCCUGUGGAGGAAGAACUACAAAAAACAUCGUUGAAGAAGCAGUCCAUUCUCUUCUUCUAUGUAAUUCAUAAGCAUGAAUCAUAUGUGUCCACAUAAUCCCUUUUUAUUCAUUGAAAAGGAUAUGUUAGAGUGAGUAGGCCCAAAUAUCAUUGGGAAUAGGAGUAGACCAUCCAAAGGAGAAGACAGUACACCAUGAAUCUGUACAAAGGAAUAUAUUCCUCCCAUUACCAAGCUUAAACUUUGCAACUUGAAAUGCUGAUCCAUGGACUUCUCAAACCUAAACCAAGCUUACCCGAAGUGCACCAAAGAUUUGGAUCAACUCCAUGAAUACUUCUAACAAUUUUGCACCAUAAAGAGUCCUGCUCCUUAAGGAUUCUCCAACUCCAUUUAAACAAUAAAGCUGUAUUUCUGUUUUCAUUUCCAAUCCCUAGACCACCAUCUUUUAGAGCUUUCGAAGCUAACUCCUGUUUAACCAAAGGAUUCAGCUUGCUGCCUUUUUGACCUUCCCAAAAGAAGUUACAUAAAAGUCUCCAAUUCUUGUAUCACCAAGAAAGGCAUUUGGAAUAAGGACAUAUUAUAAGUUGGUAGGUUGGCCAAAACUGAAUUACAUAAAGUUUAACGGGUCAUUGAUUCCUCUGCUUCUUUUACUGUUAAAUCCCUAAUUGAUGAUUUAACUUGUUCAAUAGGGUCCUCUACCAGAAAUCUUUAUUCUAUUAUUCGGUCUGAUCACUACCCAAAGAAAAUUAAAUUAUUCUGGGAACUUAGUCACGGUGCCAUUAAUACUGCUGAUUGCCUCCAACGCCAAAUGUCGUAUAUGUCUUUUUCUCCUACUUGGUAUGUUGUGUGUCAAACUGCUGCGGAAUCUGCCUCUCACCAAUUUGCGCACCGUUCCUUUGCUACUCAGUUUUGGCACAUCAUCUGGGAUGCUUUUUGGUUAUGAAAGAAAACAGAAAAGUCAUGAAGAAACCUUAUUAAAAGCCAUCGCACUAGAAGAGAAAAAAUAUGAUCAACCGGAUACGUGCACAGUGGAUCACUUAUUGUUAAUAAGAGAGUGGAUCUUCUAGCUCUUUGUAGAAGGGAGGAAAGAGAUAUAAUCCAGAAAACUAAGUUGACUUGGCUGAAAUUGGGGAACAAAAAUAUGAGUUUCUUCCAUCGUUCUCAUCGGGGAAAAAAAAAAAAGAAGAAGUCUAAUUCCGAAGCUUGUUAAUAAUCAAGGAAACCCAACCACUUUAUUCUUUGAAAUUGAGCAUUUAAUACUUGAUUUCUACAGCACCCUCUAUGAGAAAUCUCCUCACACCUCCGUUUUUUUAUUGGUCUGUAGUUUCAGCCGAUCAAAAUAAAAGGCUUAUUUCAAAAUUUAGUUUGGUGGAGAUCAGGGCAGCAUUAAAAUCAAUGGGAAGAAACAGAGGCUCCAGGUCCGGAUAGCUUCACAGUAGAAUUCUUCAUCAAAUUUUGGGAUCUCCUCAAGGAAAAUCUUUGUAAAUUAUUCAAUGAGUUCUAUGGGACUGGAAACUAAAUGCAUGUAAAGGAGAAAUUUAUUUGCUUGAUCAAGAAAAAGGAAGAUGCAGUAAAGGUAAUUGAUUUCCGGCCCAUAAGUUUCACUACUUUGUUGUACAAAUUGAUUGCAAAAGUGCUUGCUGAAAGAAUGAAGAUAAUUAUGCCCAGUAUUAGAGCUCUCACUCAAAGUGCCUUUUUGGAUGGCCGCCAAAUUCUGGAUCCUGUACUUAUUGCAAAUAAAGUUGUGGAGUAUUAUAGGUCCAAAAAAAGCAAGGAUGGAUUACAAACUGGACCUUGGAGAGGCAUUUGAUCGAGUUGAUUGGGGUUUCUUGGAAAGAAUUUUGAAGCAGAAAAAUUUCAAUCAUUGAUGGAUCAUCUCUUCGAUCAUGGAUUGUGUUGUUUUUUUUUUUAAGAGACACAAGGCAAACUCUAUUAUAGAAAUAAUAUAAAAACUGAAAUAAUAUACCCCCAAACACCUCUGUUUCAAUUUAGGCAUUAACAGUUCUAAUUAUGCACUAUUUUAAGGCUGUUGAAGAAGAAAUAUGUAAGUUUCAAAUUAGAACUUGCCCAGGUACCAACAAGCUACAAAAUCUUUUGGCAUGUCACUUGUUUAAGUCAGAAAAGUAAAAAUCCUCCAUCUCAUGAACUCCCCCAAAUCAAAAGUCAAGUCUCCCAACAACAGUAGCUUACGCUUCAUAGCUCAUUGCAAGACCAACAACUGAAAUGAGUUUCUAAAACCCAUUCUCUUUUUCUAUUACUGCAUUCCACACCUGUCCGACCACGGUGCUGCCAUGAUUGAUCCAAAUUUUCCCAAGUAACUGAAUGCCUUUGCAUUGCAAUUACUCAUCCCCCAUGUUGAUAUUCCGUCCAUUCCAAUUUCAACUAUUGGGGAUAUUUGUAACCUUCCAACUCGAUCUUGGCUUUUAGAUUCCUUUCUAUUAGCUGAAAAUGAUGCCAAGUUAGGUUUUAAAUUCAUCUCCUCUACUUCUUUCUCACCAACCUUUUGGAGAACAGCAUCCAUGUCUUCAAUAAGAUCAUCUCCGAAAAGCUGUUCAAAUGGCACUUCAGCGUCGUCAAUAACACCAAUCUGCCUUUCCCCUUCCUUCUUUGCUUUCUUCUUAUGGUUUUCAAUCUUGGUAAGUGUCUCCUUGUGUAUUGGCAAAGAUGGCUCCUUAUUGCUUUUUGUUCUUUUCUGCUUUGAAGUCUUCUUUUCCUUAUCAAUAUCAUUGGUACCGAGAUUUAUCUUAUUGUCAAGAGAUGGAAUUACUUUCUCCUCCCUGGUGACCUUAUCCAUCUUACGUUUUUUGCGUUCCAACUUCCUGUCCACAUCAGCACCAUUAGUAUGAUCAAGUUUGCCAUCAGUGCCUUGAACAGACGGGUGUGUUUCAACAUUCCCAUUCAGUUUUCUAUCCUUUUUCUCUUUUUGACGAUCUAGGCUCCUGAUUGGAGUGUCGUCUUCUUUAUCACUCCCAUUAUCAUUCUCAUUCUGAAUGCAUUUAUCAAUUGAUCUCGCAUUCAAUACACGCAAGCCUGGAACCAGUCGACAAAUCUUUUUAUCUAACUUAGCACUUUCAGCAAUAGGAUUCCCUCGAACAUAAAUAUUCCUCAGAUAGCCUAAUGAACUCAAUACCUUUAAAUCUGACCAUCUCAUGAUGACAUUAUUUCCCAAAUCCAAAUUCAACAACUUCUUGUUAUGAGCCAAAGCAUUGGGGAGCAUCCUGAUUUCAUUGUGAGCAAGUCUAAGCUCUUUAAGUUCGAUACAAAACUUGAGGGAUUCAAUAGAUUGAUGUUUGCAGUUAGAAAGGGAUAGCUUUUUCAUUGAAUUCACUUUCAACAAAGAAUCUCCAAUACUGUGGAUUGGAUUUCUAGAAAGAACCAGAGUAUUCAGGUUCUUCAUCUGAUCAAGCUUGCAAAUAGAAGCAAUCUCAUUGUCAUUCAAAAUCAAAUCACAAAAGCCAACAAGGGGUCUAAUUUCAUCCAUUGACCGAAGCUUAUUCUUUCCCGCAUUUAAUACAUUAAGUCUAGAAAGCCCUUUAAUUCCUUUUAAGUUAUCAAGUUUGUUUUGUACAACUGAGAGCCACUUCAAAUUGGUGCAUGACUCCAACCCCUGAAGCGAUGUGAGAUUGUUGAAUGUCAAAUCAAGCUUCUCCAAGUUUUUGAAAAGGGACAAACCAUUUAUAUCAGAAAGAGCCUUUUGAUUGAGCUUGAGAGUAGUGAUGGUGAGUGGGUCUUUGGUUUUGUAAUCAUUGAGAACUUGUUGUAUAUCCAAGCAAGACAUAGUUGUGAAAACCCUAGUUUUCUCUGUUAGGAACAGACACUGCCUCCGAAAACGCCUUCAAACUCCGCUGUCUCUGCUGCUUGUGUGCUGGAUUGAUCAUGGAUUGUGUUAAAAACCCUAAGUAUUCAGAAUUCGUCAAUGGGAGGCCCAGAGGAAGAAUUCAAGCCUCAAGAGGGUUAAAGCAAGGGGAUCCCCUUUCCCUCUUUCUUUUCUUCUGGUUAGCGAAGUGCUUAGUAGUUUCAUCUCAAAUCUACACUUGAACGGUUUGUAUGAAGGUUUCAUGGUAGGAAAGAACAAUGUUCAUGUUCCCCUCCUUCAAUUUGCAGACAACACCUUAAUAUUUUCCAAGUUUGAUGAAGUUAUUCAUGAAAACGUUAAAAAGACGCUUGAAAUAUUUUAGUGUUAUGGGCAAAAGAUAAAUUGGGAAAAGUCAUCUAUAUGCGGAAUUAAUAUUGGGGAAAGUAAGAUCUCCUUAGCGGCAUCCAUGAGGAAUUGCUAAACAUUCCUCAUGCCAAAAAAAUCUCUAAUUCCAUUGAAAGAACCAUGGAGGAACUUCUUUUGAGAAGGGAACAACGGUAGCAAGUUGAACCACCUAGUGAAAUGGGAAUUAGUUUCCAAACCCCAAGGAGAUGGGGGCCUUGGGCUGGACAAGCUGAAAUUUAGAAACAUUACUCUUCUUGCCAAGUGGAGGUGGAGGUUCAUGGCAGAACAAAACUCUCUAUGGUAUAAGGUGGUUUGUAGUAUUCACGGGAGUAGCCUCUUCCAGUGGCACACAAGUGGCAAAGAAAAUUCAAGUUUAAGAAGCCCUUGGAUAAAUAUUUCUAGAUAGUGUGGCAGCUUUUAAAGUUGGAAAGGGUGACAAAAUUUUGUUUUGGUUGGAUCCAUGAAUGGAUAGAAUUGCUUUGAAGACCACACUCCCAAGCUGUACAGAAUUGCCCUUAAUCCAAAAGGCUCGGUUGUAGAACAUUGGAACACCUCCACUUCCUCUGGGUUUCUUGAUUUCAAAAGAUUGUUAGGAGCUUGAAAUCUCUAAUUUUCAACUUCUCCUGGGCUCCUUGGAAAGGACAAGAUUAUCCAAUAUUGAGAAUAAAAGAAUCUGGUUAAUGGAAACUAAUGGGGUUUUUUCAGUAAAGUCAUUAUCGAAGCACUUGUCUCUUGCCACUCCGAUGGACCUACAGUUGGAAAAAAGCCUUCAGAAAUCUAAAAGCCCGAGGGUAAGUAUAACUCUAUCGAUUAUGUUGUUCAGGAGUUCAAUUUGUGCAUCCAUUAUGCAAAAGAAGUUACCCACUCAUUAUAUUUCGCCACAUAUAUGCCCAUUCUAUCUCAAAUUUCAUGCGGAACUCCAGCACUUGUUUGAAUGUGUAUAUGCUGCCAAGUGUAGGAGUAAACUCUUUCACACCUUUAAUCUCAGCUGAGACCUUGAUAAAGAAUGCAAGAAUAAUGUUAGACAGUUACUUCUUGGUCCGGUUAUGAUGAAAAAAUGCCUCCUUGCUUUGGUGCAAUACCGUCAAGGAAAUUUUGUUGGAACUGUGGUUUGAGAGAAAUCUGCGAGUCUUCCACAAUAAAGCCUCCUCUUGGUUCAAUAGAUACGAGUGCGCACGUCUGAAUGCCUCUUUGUGAUGCUCUCUACGAAAACAAUUUAAAGACUUCUCUAUGCAAUAUAUCUUACUAAACUGGCAGCCCUUUUAACUUUCCUCCUUGUUGAUGAUUCAGAUUUGGCUCACAGCCUCUGGUGUUUCCAACCGUUUCAGAAUCUUUCUUUGUCUGGCUGUAUUUUUAAUUCCUAGUCUGGUUAGAAGUUGUUUCUUAUGUCCUUUUUGAGUUGUAUUGGUUGUGGUUAGUCCUGCACUUGGACGUUAUUAGUUGUUCUAUCUUUUUAUUAUGUAGGAUAUGAUAAGGAUACUAAGAGGGUGUCAACUUAGCUGGGAUGCUCAAAUGCACAUCCUUAUCCUUGGUUUGAAUGCUCAUCGUAUAAUCCUCUUAUACUAUAAGAUUUAGUUUCAUUGUUCAUUUAUUAAUAAAUGAGGUUGUUUCCUUUUCAAAAAAAAUCUAAAGGAUCAACUUGAUCCAAUCUCUUUAAAUCAUAUCGACGAGAGUAAUGAAUGGUUGGUCGAAACAUUGGAUGAAGAAAAUGAUGAAGCUGAAGUUGACAAUAAGCUAGUUUUUUAUGACAACGACCUCACAUGGGGAGAUGUAGCUCGUGCUAGCGGCGUUAGAGAACCCCUCAUGUACACUAGAUCAAAAGGAAAGUCAACUACCUCUCCCUCCACUUCUAGAGUUCAAAAGCAAGCACCAACUAUACAAGUAGUUAGUAAUGAAGAUGAGGACGACGAUGAAGAGGAAUUAGACAUCAAGGAGAACAAUGGCCGAGGAGCAAUGGACGAAACCAUAGAGUUAGAUGGGGAUGUUGAUGAAUUUGAUAUUUGAUGGUGUUUUAAACUUGUACUUAUAGAGUUCUGUUCAUUUUUAUUUUUUAUUUUUUGAAAUGGAGACAAACUUCUUUAUUAAAUAGAACUCAAACUGAAAGUACAAAGAAUUAUACAAUCGAUUUUGUUCAUUUUUCUUGAUUACAGAACUAUUAUUAAUCUUUGAGGCUUUGACAUUUGUCUAUAAACUUAUGUUCUACCUCAUAUAUUAUUUAUUUAUUUAUUCAUUCAUUGCACCUCGCUUCGCUCAGGCAUUGCCUUUAUGUCGCCUCUCACCUUGAGGUGCCCCUUGCGCUUUGAAAACACUGCUGAGAGAGAGCAGUUUCAUGUUUUUUUGAAACGGAGACAAAACUUCUUUAUUAAUAAGAACCCUAAGUACAAGAAAAUUAUACAAAGAGAGCAAUAAAGAAGAAAUAGAAAGGGGACAUAUCAACUAGGUCGACACCCCCAUAGCGUCAAUCAUCAUAUCCCGAAAAAGUGAUGAUAGACCACCAAUUAUUUUACAAUAUAGCUGGAGGAAAAAGGAGGCAGUUGCACGUGAACAAGAGAAGGGAAAUGGAGAAAGAAGUGGAAACCACCUUGGUGGGGACCAUGGUUAAUUACAUGGGAGAGAGUUAAAAGGGAAAGAAGGAAGGGAAGAGAGGGGUGGUUAGUCAGUUUCUGGAAGUGGAGGGCUGUAAUUUCCUGGAGAGCAGGGAAUGCAGAAAGUGUUCAGUUUCUGUAGUCUGUAGCAAGUUAUUUCCAUUAUCGUGAACUCCUUUACUGUUUUGUUGUUUUAUGUUGAACUUUGUAUUAGUUCUUGUGUUGUACUUUGUUUUCAAGACUCUGUGUUAGUUUGUUUUCUGUAAAAGUUUGGCUGAUAAAUAAACUAGUAGAACACACUACUUGGUGUUCUAUCAAGUAAAUAUCAAAGCAAAACAAAACAAAAAACAGCCAAUUACCAAGUCCAGAAAAAAAAAAAAACAUUUAAAGAAACCCCAAAAAACAAUUACAAUCUCAAAAUAAAAUUAAACAAGGUCAAGACUUCAAAGCUUCAAACUUCAGACAGUAAGAACUGCAAAUGGAGAGAAAAUGAACCGGCAAUGGUUAGGCUCGAUUAAGAAAGGCAUUCCAAUUGAGGUAAAUAUCUUGAAUGGAAAAAUUAGCAGACUCAUUUUUUAAUGAACACCAAGUUCAAUUAAGGUUGUACUACUUGAUCAGUUAACGCUGACCAGAUCCAUCUAAGUUGGCAAACGGAUAGAGAGAUGCUUCUGCCGGCUUCUACAUCUUCAAUGAAGCAACAAUCUCCUUCAUGUCAAAUGCAAUAGUGUGACUAGUCAAUUUUCCAGCUAACCACCUCCAUGGUGAUCUCUGAGACUUAACAGAGAGGACUGCUUAAAAAACCUGGCUGUCGGAGAGGGGAGAUCGGAAGGAGUGGGGUGGAGGGAGGGGAGAGGAGAGGAGGAGAGAGAGAACUUAGAGCAGUUUUAUGUUAUUUAAUGAACGUACAUAAAAGAGAAGUUUGGAUUUCUCAUAUGUCUUAAAUCUCCAAGUUCAAUUAAGGUUGUACUACUUGAAUUCUGGCUUAUCGUUGGGAGUCCCGAUGUGCAGUAGUACACAUCAUGCUUCGACAAUGGAUUUUUGAUACUUUGCCCCCAAUACAAUCUUGUUGUCACCAAACAAGUUCCUUGAAGUACCCAGUAUAACAUAUCAUGACCAUGCUUCCAUAAUUAAAAAGAUAAGACAACCAAAGUACUCUUAAAUCGAAGAAAAACAUUGCUGCAAAAACAAGUAUACCUCCACAAGUUUCUCAACUUUUGUAAAAUGACAACCAAAGGAGGAGUAGCGCAUGCCAUACAGAAAUGGUGCAAGAUAUACUCUGAGUUUGUUCUACAGUAAAGGAAUUCACAAAGUCAGUUAAAAGUGAUUGUUCAAAGAAAACAAAGAAUUCAACGAUGCUAACACAUUUAAUUCAAAUACACAAAAAUUCAUUGAAGACCAAGAAAAAAGAACAAGACUUACAUUGAGAAAAAAAAUAAUUAUAUAAGGAAAGACCAAAAAAAUCAAAGCUCACACAAGUGAAUCCAAUUAAAGAAAGAAACUCCAGUCAAAUAAAUUACAACCUAGAGGACAGAUGAAGAAGAAACUCCUCAAUCAUCUUCGUGAUCUCUGUGUCUAAUGUUUUUCAAUGCUCAAGGCAUAAUAAAGCACAAUAGUCUUUUAGGGCUUAAGUGCAAGGCGGAAAAAAAAUGUGGGUUUUUUUUUAAGGUGCAGUCUCUCUAUAUAUAAUACAAGAUAAUAUAAAAAUACAAGAUAAAAAAGAGGAUAGUUGAAUUGGGAAUAUAAAAGAAAAAAAAUAAAAGUAACCAUAGGAAAAAAAAUAUUCCAUUUAGGCCAAGCAAAUUUUAUUAUUUAUAAUUAAUAUGGAAGGAAAAAACCCUAAUAAUUACUUUUUUAAAAUAAUGAAAAAAAAACCCCAAUGCCUAGGACAUUGGGCCGUAGGGCUUCACUGAAAGCACCACAUCUGAUGCACUUGUGUGCAAGGCGAGGCACUAUGCAUGCGCCUAGGAGGCUUUCUAAAACACAGCAUGUGUCUAGCAAAAGGAAAGUCAAACACCUCAUAGAAACAACUCCAAACUAACCAAACAAAGUCAUGAUUCAAAAAGAUAUGAUUGAAGUCUUUUUUCUGCCCACCAAUACAGAAUGUGAAAAAGCAGCCCUACAAAAAGGAUCAUCUUUCUAAAAACCAAUCUAAUCUGUAAAAGUCUUCCUCUUUUCAGCCUCCUCAUAGUGUUCUUCCUCCUAUGAUCUCGAGUUUGUCUUGGUGCAAGUUUUUGGUCGCCUUUUAUUUAGAAGGAUGUUUAGUCUUGUAUUUGUAUUUGUAUUUCCCUGUACUUCUUUUGUGUUUGUUUUGCCUUUAGCCAUUACUCCUUUGUUACGGGUUUUAGCUUGGUUGGAUAUGAUGAGGGUGUUAAGGGGGUGUCAACCUAGUUGAGAUGUCCAGGUGCACCCCCGAUCCAUGCUUACAUGCUCAUUGUAUAAUUCUUUUGUAUUAUGAGCUUUUGUCUCAUUAUUAUUAUAUUAAUAUUAAUAAAGAGGCUGUCUCCUUUUUAAAAGAAAUAUCUGUAGAAGUCUUCCAUGAUUGACUUACCACAAACAGAAGUGCUAAGUCUUCUAGAAAAAUUUUACAAAAUCUCUAAAAGAGGGAACUACAUUCUUAAAAUUUUCACAAAAGCUCCAAAAGAGGGAACUACAAGAAAUACUUUUAGAAGGAUUCAAGCUCCAAAAGAGAAACAAUCCUUCUCCUUCGUAUUAAUAUCAAAUGUCUCGUUCGAGGAUACAAGAGCCACUAUGUCAGUUGCUUCUCUAUCAAACAACAAAUGACAGAAUCCCAACAAUAUCCUAGAGCUACUAAAACGAGAAAAGGCAUCUGCCACCAAAUGAUUCAGCAUAAGGAAAAAGAUGUAAACAGGAAAAUAGAGAGCAGGGGCCGAAUGUCUAAGAUGAAAGCACAAAAUAGUUCAAAACUUCGAAAACACAAAAUAUUAGUCAGUAUAAGACCAUGCUUUGUCAAAAAUUUCGUCAAAGCAGCUGAGCAAAUAAAAGCCUAAGAAAUUUCUUUAGAACAGUGCAAUAAGAAAUUGUAAGCACCUUCCACUUAAAUAUGUGGUUAAGAACUUCAGGCUCACAAACAGCUUCUGCAUCCUCAAUGCAACAUCCUUCCUCAAGCUUGCGCAGAGCAGCUCGAACAGCCUAACAACCAAAACAGUAGACCAUUAAGGGAUAAGAAACCACGAGAUCACUUUAAGGAUACAAAAGUUAAUAAUUUUCUUACCACAACUGACCCUUCCAACUUCCCCAUCUUAAUUGUCUUGUCCACUACAUGUUUUAAAGAAUAUGCAUGAGUAGAUGGGACUUUGUGCUUCUUAAUUACGUCUUCCAAAGUAAUUGACGAUGCAACAUUUUUCAUCAUGUCCAUUAACCUAGGUUAAAAGAAAGAAUAUUUUAGAAACAAAUCCACUUUACCAAACAUGCAAGCGUGCACUUUAGGGAAGUUUAUAACUGUUGUCAUUCCUUAAUUCAUUUUUUAAGGGUGAGGGCAUCAAAACCAAAUGUGAAGUACAAAUGGCAGUUACCUCCUCUCCGAAUUGGCAUCUAAUAGGAGCAUCCCACUUCUAUCCUCCUUGUAAAUCUUACUUGGAUCAAAUCUCUUGGUUGGUAUGGCAGACUUGCCAACUAAGGAGGAUUUUUUCACUUUGAUCGUCUUAUCAAUGUCCAUGAGGACAGAUUCUCCUUUUUGAUUCAAAGAGUUUCUUGAAAUGUUACCCAAUUUCACAUUUUUAGACUCAGAACUCCACAAUGAUUUCGCAGUCACUUUACCAAGAAGCUUCCCAUCAGAUGAGGACCUCUCAAAUGAUUUGGAUACUUUUGCAGCAGAUUUUCCCUGAAGGUCAUCUGGCAUAGAUCCCUUCUUUGAUACAACAUUCUCCCUACUCCCACGAAAAACUAUCGUCUUCCCUCGUCUUGUAUCACUGAUAGGAAGUUUCCUUUUCUGAAUGGGAAGCCUACUCUCUUCAAGACCAGGAAAUUUUAUAUGGUCUCUAGCAGGAGUCUCAAUUUCUUCAUCAAUCUCGUGGUCCCUGGUCAAAUUAAAUGAAAAAAAAAACAUUAAUAGGCCAAUACUGAUUAAAGGAAAUAGUAGUAACAGCUGACACAGCAAUCUUACAAGCAAUAUAUCAAAAUGCGAUUAGGUAAUAGCUUUUCCCAUGCCCUGGUCGGGGUUUCACCAUCCUCAGAACCUUCAAAAGUGAUUUUCCUAACAAAAACAAUGCAUUCUUUAACCAAUUAAGCACCAGAACUUAAAAAAUUACACUCUGAUUCACUAUAUAGAAAUUCAAAGGAUACCUUGGUAAGCAUUUCCUGUGGUAUGAUUUUGGACACCGUCGACAAACAGCAAACUGUAGUUCCCAUAUUUUCUUAUUUUCGCCGAGCGCACAAACAGAGCACUUAUGCACAGGGCAUGAGAAAGAUUCUCCAGAUGCAAUCUUCUUCUCAAGGUCUCCAGCGGCAACUUUAUUCUCCGGAUGAAGCAAUCUUGAAAUACAUUUAGGAUGAUAAAAAUAACCACAAGUUGCAUUUACGCAUUGGAAGACCUAAAGAGCAAUAGUAACUCAUAUUAGGUAAUAAUCAGAGACUGAUGUCUAAAAUCAUAAGUAAAUCUCUUUUUCUAAUAAGAAAAGCAUAUGUAUAUUCAACAAAAAAAGCCAAGAAGGACCAUCUAAGAGGAAAGGGUUGAGGAAACCCCCACCCACAAAACUAAUAAAGAAGAGCCUAGCAAUUAUUAAUACUCAUUAAAAGAUCUAAUUACAAAGGGAGAUAUGAGCUAUUGGCAAAAUUAACAAUGUGUUAGAAAGUUGCUAACAAGAACAAGAUAUUAAUUUAUUAUAAUGAACUAUAAGAAAAUACAAGAUAAACCCAAGUAUAAGGCACUUGGAACCUCCCUCUUGAGUACUCUCACCCAAGCCCUAAAUCACUCCACAUAAUAACCUCUCUCUCUCACUUACCCUCCCUCCAUUUAUAACAAGAUGUAACCACCCUAGUAACCACACAUAAUAGCUACUAGUAACCACACUUACACAAUAACUACUAGUAACUUCCUAAGUAUCUAAUUACCCUUAUACCCCUAACCCUAUACUAAUCUAAUUACCCUUAUACAAUAUAAACCCAUGUAUACAAAUGUAGGUAUCUAACACAAUGCUAAUAAAUAAAUUACAUUAAAACUACAAAGAUUCCAAACCUACAAACAAGAAACUAGCAAAAAAAGUCAAACAACUCAAACCCAAUCAAAGGGUCGACAAAAUUAUGAACCAAAAGAUUGUGAAAAAACUCUAGUGUAAAUGUAAAGAUGGAAAGAUAUUAGGGUUCACCUAAGUUCAUUAUGAUUAUAAUAAACAAAAACAAAUUAAUAAAACAAAAAAAAAAGGGAGCCAAUGUCUAUAUUGCGCAGGAUUCAUAUAGUAAAUAUUCAUACAAUACGUGAAGGAUAGCCAUUUUAGUAGUGAAGUGUAUGGUCAAUCGAUUUUAUACCUACAAUGAGUUAUUUUUAGAGGAGUUUCAUUGAAUCUUUAACAACUUUCCAAAUAUAAGCAGAGUACAAAUAAACUUGACUUUGUAUUACUCUCUUUGUAUAACUCUCUUGUACUUUGAGUGCAUAUUAAUAAAAAAGAUUUGUCUCCGUUUCAAAAUAAAUAAAUAAACUUGACUUUGAGGGUGAGUAUUUUUUGUUUAUAUGAUGAUAAAACCAAUUUCAAUGAGGAAAAAAAAAGAGAGAAUAGGAGGCUAACCAAAAGCCAGCCCACUAAAAGGAAGGGAACCCUCUAGAAAAAGGGACCCAACUAUGCAAAAUAACACCUAUAGAAUAAUUACAAAAUUCCUUCGAAUUCAAGGCCCACAAAGAAACAUGAUAACGUACAAGGGACCAAAUCUCACUGGGGACCCUCUCCCCACCCCUAAAAACCCCAUUGUUCUGCUCACCCCACACCACCCAUAAAAUAGAACACACCCCCAUGACCCAAAGGAAGUGCCCUUCUCACUGGUCAGGGUUGAGAAGGAACUCCUCAAGCAACGCACACACAUCUCUAUGUCAAGUCCCCCUAACGCCAAAUGUCUAAAACAAAGAGUUCCAAACCAAGCUGGAAAACUCACAAUGCCCAGAAUGUGGUCCAGAUCUCCCUCCCUUUUCUACAAAGAAUGCAACAAGAAAGGACCUACAAGCGAGAGCAUCUUCCUCUUAAGCCUAUCCAUCCUGUUUUUUUUCUUUUUACGGUCGUGUAAAACUUGCCAACUAAAGAACUUAACUUUCCUAGGAAUCUCAAUCCUCCACAGCACAAGAAAACAGAUAGACCUAGGGGAGAACCACUUCACCCACGUCUAAACGAGUGGCCCUCAAGUACCUCUAUUGUUUCCCUAUAGGAAAAAGCACAACAGAACCCAAAAGAGAGGGAAUACGAGCUCCUAGACCACACGAGAAUAUCAGCAACAAAACAGUGUUUGUGAUCAAGAAAAUGAUACGAAAGAGGGAAUAAGAAACAGAGAGGUCUCUCCCCCAUCCAAUGGUCUUCCCAAAAGUAAGUAUCUCUCCCCCAUCCAAUGGUCUUCCCAAAAGGAAGUAUCUCUCCCCUUCCCCACCACACAAUGAAUGAAUUGAACAAAAGCAAGGAGAUCUUUCUAGAAAAUCUACGAGAAUUCUUCGAACAAAAGAUAAUUCAGUAUUUGUCCAUACAUGAGGGGAAGACUUCCACUUAUAGAGUUUUAAUACAAGUGGUGGUAAAAAAUGGAAUUAACCUAAGACUAUGACCCAGCUAACCACAUUCUUCUUACAUCACCACUUUCCCCUUCUCCCUCCUGAUUCAAUUGAUGCAAUCAAGCUCUCUUUCAACCCUAACAUCAUUUCCAAUUAAAUCAACUCAGUUGACAUCAAUUUCAUGAGGAUCGAGCUCGUGCCAUUUCUUCGAACUCAAAGAAAAGCCUCAUGGGUUGGCAAACCACCAUCUGAAGUGAUUCUUUAGACUCUAUCACUUUUGAGUUGGUAGCAAAAACAUAUUCAGGGGAAUUGAUGUAGAGUGUAGAAUAAUGGGGGCCAAGGCUUCUGCUGAUUAUUCAAGUCAAGAUAUUAGUUUAAACUGGAGUGCUCUCAUCUCCAUGUAAUUGUUGAUGGCAACCGUGGAUAAGAUGGCUCUCUUCCUCUACUACACUUCAUAGUCUUGUUUUGCUAUUUUUGAAUAUUCUUGGCGAUGGAACAAAGAUCAAGAACUUUUCUAUUGAUGUAGUGAGAAGAAACAACAAAUGUUCAAAUGAAACAGAAAAUCUGGAAGUUGCUAAAAGGUAAGUUCUCUUUGUUAUCCCUCCUCCCCCCUCCCUCCUGCUCCCUUUUCGGUUCUCUCUUUUUCCAGUAGCCUCACAACGACUACUUUUCAGUCUAACAACGUUAGCCUCCUGGUGAAGUCUACCCACAGACCAAUCACUAAAGGUCUGGUGGUUGAGUUUCGUUUUAAUUGCACAGGGAAGCUUAGAAGUGAGACUGCAAUGGAAGUGGUAAGUUACGAAGUUCUUCAAUCGUAUUAUCGCAUUUGGUCAGAAGACGAUAGCUUCCUUGUCAAAGAUGUGAGCUGGUGCCUGAAAGCAUUAUCAGUGUUAUUAAGAGGCCCAGCAGAUUGUUUCUUCCAGAAAUGGGGGAGUUAAACCAAGGAAGGUUGAAGUUGUCAAAGUUCAAGGCAAAAAAGGGUUGGGUGUUAUGUUGUGUGACCUAUGGCCAUUUUCAGGUGGACACUCCUUCAUUCGAGUGUGUUAGGGAGAAGACAAACAGGGGUGGGUGGCAUUUCACAAAAUGCUGGAGAAUUUCCUUUUCAAAACCAGAGUAUAUAAGUUGGUAUUCACAUAAAAUUGCCACAUCUUUUAAUCCAGCCCAGGCUAAGAGUACAAGCUUCACAGAUAAAGUUAAAUCGGAUGGUAACUUAACCCAUGAUGAAAAGAAAAAAAAGAGAGUGCCAUUAAAGUUGAUUAUCAGGCUGUGACCAAAGAUGAAGGAGAAAGCUCUCAAGUUUCCUCUAUUUUGAAGAGAGCAAAACAGAGUCAGGGGGUGACAAAUAACUCGGAAGUUAUUCAAACAAAGUUUGAAAAUGAUGUAAGAAGACUAAGAGUUAAUUGGGUAAUUAGGUAAUAUUCUAGAUUAAUUCCCUUUUUAGCCCCAUUUGUAAUAGAAGUCUUCUCCUCUUGUAUGAAGCACAUUAUUCAUUCUAAUAAAAGAUUCUCAAUCUUGGUUCUUGGAGGAUUUCUCCUUGAGAUUACUUAGGCUACAUCAGAAUAGUUGUGGAUAGUUACAAUACUCUUUGCGUUGAUUAUUGGAGAGAAAUUCGAAAACUGCUGGAAAUCUUUUUCCAAACAAGAAUUAUCAUCAACCCACUAUUGGAUGAAAAUGCUCUUAUUAGUUUGGAUCAAGGCCUGGUUGAAGAUUUCAUCAAUGAACCUGAGAGAUGGCAGGAGAUGGGGCCAUUUCACCUAAAGUUCGAAAAAUGGGAUAGAUUAAAAAACAGCCAGCCGUUGGUAAUGAAAGGCUGCAGCAGAUGGUUAAGAAUUGGAAACCUUCCUCUGGACUACUAGUGUAGAAAAACCUUCGAAGCCACCAGAGAGAAUUUUGAGGGUUUAGAAAGCAUUGCCACAGAAACGCUUAAUCUAACCAAUUGCAACGAAGCAAGAAUUCAAGUUAAACCGAAUUUAUGUGGUAUUAUACCUACUACCACUGAAAUUACAGACUUUAAUAGAAGUAAUUUUUUCUUGAAUUUUGAUGAUAUUGAGCCUAUGGAUCCCCCAUGUAUUUUCAAGGGAAGUCUUAUUGUUAAGGAUUUUCAAAAACCCUAUUGAUUAACUAAGGGUUAGGCAAGCUUUGGAAGAUGAAGAUGUUAAUGUUUUGUUCUUCCCUCAAGAACUUGAUGUGUUUAAAUCCACUAAAACAGCUCCCUCCUUUUCAAGAAAUCCAUUAGAAGCUUUGAAUCAAAUUCAUGUUUCCUCACCGGCGCCGGAGGCCGACAAUCUGAUUGGAAAUGAAAUAUGUCCGUUAGAAAUUAAUAGGCUGUAUCCAAGGAAGAGAGAGAAUUCAGCAGAAGAUAUCUAUGCAUUUAAUUCAUUGGGCUUUGGUCUAACCUCAAAUGGUGGAAAGCUCAAAUGGGGCUACUUUCCAGCCUAGUAUGAACACGAAAAAAGCUUUAACAAGGAAAGAGAAUGUGAAUGGAAAUGAUUCUCUGCAAAGUAAUUGUUCUGCUUCCAUCCGUAAGGGCACGAAAAAGAAAUUUAAAAGAGAGCCUGUUGUAGUUCCUCCGUUAUUCCUCCCAAAAGACAGCUCAGCAGCAUUAACUAAUCACUCAAGAACCCUUCCACCUUCCAGCCGUGUUCUCAUAUCUUCCUCUGCCUUGGAAUCCAACUCUUCCUUGCCUUUUUCCAACCAAUCAAACAGUACAGUGAAUAUAGCAUUCCAAUUGUCCAAGGAUAACUCGAAUAAUGAUCUUCUUCAGUCUCCAUCUCACAAUACGAGUGAGUUCGAAAUACCUCAGAAAUUUCCGGCUAACAUUUGCUUGCAUCAACGAAUGAAGAGAAACAAGAAGUGCAAGAUUCCUAAAAUGUCUCAAGGAAGUUCUUAUUUGGUUAAGCCUUUCCGAAAACACUUGACCAAGAAAAGGACUUCUUUUAGCAAUUCUUGGACAAAAAUCACAAACCCUGACUUGCUUGAGGCUGUUGUGUCAAGAUCCAAGUCCCUGGCCUAAAUCAAAACAGGUCAGCUUCUUUACCUUUUUUGAAUAAACCUGGUUCCCAUUUCGGAUGUAAUUCCCAAGAGUCUUUCAAUCCUCCUUCUGUGCGAGGAUUACAUAGCAAUUUUCAGACUUCUCAUAAAGGUACGAAAGACUUUGAUGAAGAGUCAUUGGCAAGUGUAAGCAGUGAAGAACAGGAAAGAGGACAAUGAGGAGAUAGAAAUUACAAUAAAAUGCCAGUUGAUAUGAACAAGGCUUUAAGUAUUUUAUUCCAAUCUGAAGAGGUUCAAUUACUUUCCAUUAAGAAAAGCUUUCCUUUACUCCACUGUAAAAGAAAAAUACAUACCUAAAAAUUGCAUUCCAUAGUGGAUACCUGUGAAAUCUCUUUAGCCUAAUCCAAAGGAAAACAGGUCAUUCGGUGGAUAUCCUCAGGGUUGAAAAUUGAAGAUUAGCUAUUGAAUUGCAUGAUGAUUUGGACAAAAACAUGGUGGCUGAUUCUUAGAAGUUUUCAAAAGAAAUUAGUCCAGACAUACUACUAAUUCAAGAUUCUAGAAUGGACAGCUUCGUUAAAGAAGUCAUAGAAAGCAUAUAGAGCUCAAAAGAUGUCGGCCAGAUUUUAGUUGGAAGCUUUAAAGAUUUUCAGGGACUUUCUUACAAGGUGGGUUGAAGGUUUUUUCAGAAAACUGACAUUGCUAAAGCUGACUUCUCUUUGAUAACUGGAGUAAUGAGUUGAAGGCAGUGCUGGCAAGUUUAUGUGGAUUGGAAGAAGACUACUUCCAGAUCCUCUGGACUUUGGAUUGUGUUGGCAAGUUAGCUUUGAGGCAGCUGUUUGCAUCUUCUUGGCUUUCAUUUUCUCCUAUCAUCUUGAAGAUUUGGAUGUGCAGUACUUUUUAUACGAGUGGAGUGGGCUAAUUUUGAGAGAGUGUUUAAGUAUUGCUUUUUACUUAGCUUUCUACUGAUGUACUGUAUUGUGUGGCUUUGAUUAGCUCGUUUAUUUUCUGAUUCGGACUCGUAUUUAAGUUUCCAUCAUAUUUAUGUUGCCCGAUUAUAGUCUUUGUUUAUGUUUUAGCUUGUUUUUUCCCUUAGUUCUUUUGGUUUUGGUAUAAUACUCUUGUACUUUGAGCUUUAGUCUCAUUAUCCUUCAUAAAGAGGCUUAUUUUCGUUUCAAAAAAAAAAAAUCUUGGCAAUGAUUGUAAUUUUUAAGUUAUUAAGUUAUUUGCAAGUUUCUUUUCAAGGUGUUGAUGGUACUAAUGGGGUGUCAACCUAGUUGAGAUGCCCGGGUGCACCUCCUGAUCCACAGCUUUAUGCUUGUUGUUUCCAUUGUACUUUGAGCAUAGUCUCAUAUCAUUAUUUUAAUGAAAAAGCUUGUUUCUUGUCAAAAAAGGGUGCUGGUGCUGGUGCUGGUGGUUUCAAAGGGUACAUAAUGGUGUACAAGUUCGAUGCCCUCUCACUGAUGAAGGCAAGGCGAGGGCUUUUUUUCUCAAAGAAGAAAGGAGUGGGG
rnacentral:lncRNA from 1 species